GCUACAGAUAUCCAAGGAUACCCCAUUUGAUACAAAAUCUUUAUGUAUAAAGUCUAGUAAUGCAUCACCAAAGGACAGCGGAUUAAGUACAUAUCUUAAGGAAAAGGGUAAUAUUAUCUCAUAAUUAGAAUUUUCUGAUAAAUAUAUAGAUGGGUU